rnacentral:lncRNA from 10 species
CAGAUCGAGACCAUCCUGGCUAACAUCGUGAAACCCUGUCUCUACUAAAAAUACAAAAAAUUAUCUGGGCGGGGUGGCGGGGCCUGUAGUCCCAGCUACUGGGGAGGCUGGGGCGGGAGAAUGGGGUGAACCCGGGAGGCGGAGCUUGCAGUGAACCAAGAUAGCGCCACUGCACUCCAGCCUGGGCGACAGAGCGAAACUCCGUCUCAAAAAAAAAAAAAAAAAAAAAAAAAAAUCAAAGCUGCUAUCUAUGGAUGACAAAGACUUAGAAUGACGUCUGAACUCUCAUCAGGUUGUUAGCAAUCUUGUGAACCCAGAAAAUCUGAGACAGGUCUCAGUUAAUUUAGAAGGUUUAUUUUGCCAAGGUUGAUGAUGCGUCUGUGACACAGCCUCAGGAAAUCCUGACCACAUGUGCCCAAGGUGGUCGGGGCACAGCUUGGUUUAUACAUUUUAGGGAGACACAGCAAUCAAUAUACGGAAGAAGUACAUUGGUUCGGAGACACAUCAAUCAACAUAUGGACGAAGUACAUGGGUUCGGUCUGGAAAGGCGGGACAACUUGAAGCAAAGGCAGGAAGACUCCAAGCAGGGAGGGAGCUUCCCGGUUUCAGCUUCUACUCCUGCCUUGAAAAAUUCUUGCCUGCAAACCAUUUGGGAGGCCAGGAUUUGAAGAUGAGCUGUCUGGUCCUGCUUGUUUGGCACCCUGAAAAUAAAUGACUUCCUUUCUGCCACUGCAACCUCAGUGUGGAUAUCUGGUUUUACUGUGUUGGCUUCUGCCACUUCUCCCAGGAUCACAUCUGCAGCUGUCAGGGCAAGUGGAGUGUGCCAGAAUCUCUUGGCUAGAUCACCAAAAUCAAGCAGAGAAAAUAAAAAUUUUAACUCAAUCCUCCCAAGUUCACAGUUGGAACAGACUCCUGUAACACGAGACUGAUUAACAAAAGAAAAAUAGGUGACUUAUUAACACAUGCAGUGCACAUCACCUGUGAGAAAAGGAACUCAAAGCAGUGAUCUAGGACUUACAUAAACAAAGAACAAUAAGUUUUAUACAAGUGACAAGACAAAGAAAAGCAGCACCAGACUUCCAAACACCAGAAACUGUGGGAAGGUAAAUAUAUGGAAAUACACUAACGAAGUAAAAAUCUGCUCACAGAUUCCUCUGAGCCAUUUCUGAGCUGAUGAGCGUUGGAGUGGAGAAUUUACAUCCGUGUUUAUGUGAGAAAACAAGGGAAGGAUAGGAAAGAUGUUUUCUUCUAUCAAUCUCUGUCCUGCUUUUAGGCAAACAGAGAGGGAAGGCAGAGACUCUUAGUUGAGAAUCUAAGUUGUCUUAGAGAAUCUUAGUUGUCUUCAGUUCAACAAUAUUUAUGUCAAAGAGGCAUACUUUGAGGUGACACAUUCUGGUUUCCUUCAGUUCAAAGACCAGAUUUUGAAGGAAAGACAUGACUGAUAAAGAUUAUUCAGGGAUUUGUUCCUCUCUCUUUAGUACAAAAUAGCUAUAAAAUUUAUGCUGUUCACAAAUGCUGGGGGAUUUGAAGAGUUGCUGAAUUUUGAGCCAAGGACAUGUGUAUGUAUAUAAACAAUGACAUGUAUAUAUUUUUUCUUUUUAUAAACUUGUAAAUUUCUUGAAAUCCAAAAUAAAUUCAUAUAAAUUUGUCCUCCAA